GAUGAACGCUGGCGGCGUGCCUAAUACAUGCAAGUCGAGCGAACAGACGAGGAGCUUGCUCCUCUGACGUUAGCGGCGGACGGGUGAGUAACACGUGGAUAACCUACCUAUAAGACUGGGAUAACUUCGGGAAACCGGAGCUAAUACCGGAUAAUAUAUUGAACCGCAUGGUUCAAUAGUGAAAGACGGUUUUGCUGUCACUUAUAGAUGGAUCCGCGCCGCAUUAGCUAGUUGCUAAGGUAACGGCUUACCAAGGCAACGAUGCGUAGCCGACCUGAGAGGGUGAUCGGCCACACUGGAACUGAGACACGGUCCAGACUCCUACGGGAGGCAGCAGUAGGGAAUCUUACGCAAUGGGCGAAAGCCUGACGGAGCAACGCCGCGUGAGUGAUGAAGGUCUUCGGAUCGUAAAACUCUGUUAUUAGGGAAGAACGAAUGUGUAAGUAACUAUGCACGUCUUGACGGUACCUAAUCAGAAAGCCACGGCUAACUACGUG
rnacentral:rRNA from 1 species